rnacentral:rRNA from 1 species
UACGGAGGGGGCUAGCGUUGUUCGGAAUUACUGGGCGUAAAGCGCACGUAGGCGGCUUUGUAAGUUAGAGGUGAAAGCCCGGAGCUCAACUCCGGAACUGCCUUUAAGACUGCAUCGCUUGAAUCAUGGAGAGGUCAGUGGAAUUCCGAGUGUAGAGGUGAAAUUCGUAGAUAUUCGCAAGAACACCAGUGGCGAAGGCGGCUCACUGGCCCGGUACUGACGCUGAGGCACGAAAGCGUGGGGAGCAAACAGG